GACGAACGCUGGCGGUGUGCCUCAUACAUGCAAGUCGAGCGAAGCGGCGGAUGGGUGAGUAACGCGUGGGUAACCUGCCCUUAAGUCUGGGAUACCAUUUGGAAACAGAUGCUAAUACCGGAUACUAACGGAUUGACCUGCGAUGCAUUAGCUAGUGGGUAAGGUACCGGCUUACCAAGGCGAGGAUGCAUAGCCGGGUUGGGGGACUGAUCGGCAACAUGGGAACUGAGACACGGCCCAAACUCCUACGGGAGGCAGCAGUAGGGAAUCUUCCACAAUGGACGAAAGUCUGAUGGGGCAACGCGGCGUGAGUGAAGAAGGUUUUCGGAUCGUAAAGCUCUGGUGUUGGUGAAGCGGUAAUCAACCAGAAAGUCACGGCUAACUACGUGCCAGCAGCCGCGGUAAUAC
rnacentral:rRNA from 1 species